CACACGACUACGAGUUUGAUCCUGGCUCAGAACGAACGCUGGCGGCAUGCCUAACACAUGCAAGUCGAACGAAGGCUUCGGCCUUAGUGGCGCACGGGUGCGUAACGCGUGGGAACCUGCCCCUCGGUUCGGAAUAACAGUUAGAAAUGACUGCUAAUACCGGAUGAUGACUUCGGUCCAAAGAUUUAUCGCCGAGGGAUGGGCCCGCGUAGGAUUAGCUAGUUGGUGGGGUAAAGGCCUACCAAGGCGACGAUCCUUAGCUGGUCUGAGAGGAUGAUCAGCCACACUGGGACUGAGACACGGCCCAGACUCCUACGGGAGGCAGCAGUGGGGAAUAUUGGACAAUGGGCGAAAGCCUGAUCCAGCAAUGCCGCGUGAGUGAUGAAGGCCUUAGGGUUGUAAAGCUCUUUUACCAGGGAUGAUAAUGACAGUACCUGGAGAAUAAGCUCCGGCUAACUCCGUG
rnacentral:rRNA from 1 species